CGCACGCGUUUCGAAUGAAAUCCUCUGUUUUAGACUUAAACCGACGUUUAUCGUAGGCUCGAUAAAUCGGUUUCGCUGGAUCUUGCGGCAAGACUGGAUCGGAGAUUGCUUAAACUCGUUUAGAGUUUAACAGAUAGCCGCUCAUUGGAGAGAACGAAUGGUACGAGAGACUCGUGCUAGCAAAUCUUGGACAAGAAAAGUUGGAGAACUUAGCGGAAUAUAGCUAUACGGUUCAAUUUGCUACGUAUUGGGCGCCAUAGGCCGUUCGCGAUGUUUGGAAUCGACAUCGCGGUACAACGAAGGCUCAACGAGGGUCGAUCGUGUAAUCGAGAACAGAUAGGGCGGCACUGGUUUCAACGCGAACUCCAGAUGAUCGAUCAGGUCGAACGGGUUACAUGGCGAAUUUUAUGCUUUUAGCUUAACCACACACAAUACCUCGGCCACUCGCGGAAAUUUAACAUUCGACUGUAUCGAGUUUGAAAAAUGCACUCACGAUUUAUCAUCGGCGAUAAUUCAACGACGUUGCAACGACAAACGGCUGGUUUGCCUCUUUUCUCUCUUUUAUUGUUACGAGCGUUUCGAUAUCCGGACAAAAAGCGAGACAAGCUAGAGAAAAGGCGAGAGCAGACGGUCGAAAGCCGAUCGACUCGUCGUUAAACGAAACUAUUUAUUUUUAUU